AUUGAACGCUGGCGGCAUGCUUUACACAUGCAAGUCGAACGGUAACAGGCCUUCGGGUGCUGACGAGUGGCGAACGGGUGAGUAAUGCAUCGGAACGUACCCAGAGGUGGGGGAUAACGCAGCGAAAGCUGUGCUAAUACCGCAUGUGAUCUGAGGAUGAAAGCGGGGGACCGAGCAGCAAUGUUUGGCCUCGCGCCUUUGGAGCGGCCGAUGUCGGAUUAGCUAGUUGGGGGGGUAAAGGCCUACCAAGGCGACGAUCCGUAGCUGGUCUGAGAGGACGACCAGCCACACUGGGACUGAGACACGGCCCAGACUCCUACGGGAGGCAGCAAUGGGGAAUUUUGGACAAAGGGCGCAAGCCUGAUCCAGCAAUGCCGCGUGCGGGAAGAAGGCCUUCGGGUUGUAAACCGCUUUUGGCAGGAACGAAACGGUGUCCGCUAAUACCGGGCGCUAAUGACGGUACCUGCAGAAUAAGCACCGGCUAACUACGUG
rnacentral:rRNA from 1 species